AGCGAACGCUGGCGGCAGGCCUAACACAUGCAAGUCGAACGAACCUUUCGGGGUUAGUGGCGGACGGGUGAGUAACACGUGGGAACGUGCCUUUAGGUUCGGAAUAACUCAGGGAAACUUGUGCUAAUACCGAAUGUGCCCUUCGGGGGAAAGAUUUAUCGCCUUUAGAGCGGCCCGCGUCUGAUUAGCUAGUUGGUUGAGGUAAUGGCUCACCAAGGCGUCGAUCAGUAGCUGGUCUGAGAGGAUGAUCAGCCACAUUGGGACUGAGACACGGCCCAAACUCCUACGGGAGGCAGCAGUGGGGAAUCUUGCGCAAUGGGCGAAAGCAUGACGCAGCCAUGCCGCGUGAAUGAUGAAGGUCUUAGGAGUGUAAAAUUCUUUCACCGGAGACGAUAAUGACGGUACCCGGAGAAGAAGCCCCGGCUAACUACGUG
rnacentral:rRNA from 1 species